UACGUAGGGGGCAAGCGUUGUCCGGAAUCAUUGGGCGUAAAGAGCGUGUAGGCGGCCAGAAAAGUCCGCUGUGAAAACUCGAGGCUCAACUUCGAGCUGUCGGUGGAAACUUUCUGGCUAGAGUCCGGAAGAGGAGAAUGGAAUUCCUGGUGUAGCGGUGAAAUGCGCAGAUAUCAGGAAGAACACCCGUGGCGAAGGCGGUUCUCUGGGACGGUACUGACGCUGAGACGCGAAAGCGUGGGAGCGAACAGG
rnacentral:rRNA from 1 species